AUGCAUCUUGGACAGACCUGGAGCAGUUACUGUCUGCUGCUGAGGUUUCCACUGCAGAUGCAAGAAAAACAGAACGUCCCCCUGCUGUCCGGGGCAGCCAAGAUCAAAUGGGGGACAGAGGA
rnacentral:snoRNA from 1 species